rnacentral:lncRNA from 1 species
AGGGAAGGAGAGCACCACAAACUCCCACUUGUUUUGCAAGUUAGGUAGGAGUUUCAUUACUGCUUUCCUACUCUUUGGGAGCUUAGGGCAGGUGACAGCAGCCACAUCUCCCAUGUGUGCCUAUGAGAGAGAUGAGAAAGCAAAGAGUGGAAGCAGGGGGCUGAGAGUGCCCAGGUUCUGCCAAUGAGCAGCUGUCUGAGCUCUAUAAAAGCUGACUGGUGGUGUAAUAGGACUUGAUACCUUGGGAAGGUGCUUGAUGUUAUGGUCUGGGAUGCUGCUAAGUGGCUCUUGGUCAAGGUACUGUAUGACUGGUCUUGUGAAAUUCAGAUGCCAACAAUUGGCUUGGAUGAGCAGCAGUACUCGCUCAGUGAAGGGGGAAGAGCAGGAAGACUGGUUUCUGGCUUGGUACUUCAUGAUGUGGGGGGGAGUGGUUUUCUCAUUGUUUCUUCUAAGCACUACUCUAUUUUUGUUCAAAACCCUCCUUUGCCUUGAGGAAGCUGUAUGUCACCAGCUGCCCCUGAUGCUGCUCCCUGAUGAACCAGAACUGCGGGCGAUGGAGAUGAAUCCAGGUCUGCUGGGAUAA